rnacentral:tRNA from 1 species
UCUUUAGUGGCUCAGAGGUUAAAAGCAUCUGCCUGCAAUGCAGGAGACUUGGGUUCGAUCCCUGGGUUGGGAA